AUUUGGGGUCCAGGUUUUAUACACUUUAUUUUGCCCCUGGCAUAAGAUUUCUCCACAGUUCUUUGUUCCCCUGGAAUAGUUAUUUGAAUUAAUUGCCAUCGUUGGUCUGUUGAAUGGGGUCUCCUCUGGGAGGGAGAAGUGUCAAUUUUAGUCCUCUGGUGGGUGAAUGAGAUUUUUGAAUGGAAAGGCAUUCUCCUCCGGAGAUCUGUGCGAUGAUGAUGCUCUGAUGGCUCUGUUGCCCACAUGAGGAGAACUGAUUCCUUAUCUUAAUGUGUCUUCCUUUCUGAUGCCAAUCUCAUCAUCUCCAGUUCUUGACAUCUCAUUGUGUCUUCCUAAAUGGUGGUUACUGGGUGAUGCCUGCCUAGGAAUUUCUCAAUUCCGUGGCUGGCUGGAAUUUAGGUUACACUCUAUAUUACAUUUUACCAAACCAUGAUUUUAACAUCUUAUAAUCCAUAAAAACACGAAUUAACCUACUAUAUCUAUCACAACCAGGAACCUCAAGGGCUUUCUUUCACAAAAGCCCAGGGGCAGUUUGAUCUCGGUGCCCCUGCGGGACUCCGAGAGGCUGAGCUGGAAGGGUGGAAAGUCCCGGGCUGGUGGAUAAGAUCAGAUGCACUGCGUUGGUUGCUGGAAUGGCAGGGAUGUCUCAGCAGGGCAGGGCAGUGCAGGGCUACAGAGUAGCAGGAAAGCCUCAAAGCUCCGAAGAAACAGCGGCGGUGGGGGCAGGGCCGGAGAAAGUGAGCUCAGAAUUCCUGGGUACACGAGCAGAUGACGGAAGAUUUCCCAGGCCCAGACUAAGUGAUGGCCGUGAACUCUUCUUGCAGCGAGCAGCAGCUUGACUGUCCUCCUCGAUGCUGAGAGCAAGAGAGCAACUACCCCCGCAGCUCUGUCUUUUACCUUUCCCAAAGCUCUCGUUAUCUCCACCCUCUGAGGGAAACUCCCAGAGACCCAAAAACAAUAGGUUAGCCUGGUGAUACAAUCUCCUUUGGCCACUUCUUUGUUUCAGUUAAAGACUCAGCAAUUUAUCUCCUAGCAACUUAUAGGGAAAAAUUCUAUAAGAAAAGGAAAAAAAAAAAACCAAACAACUCCAACCCUCAACAGCUUUUGAUUUCUCUAAGAGAAAUCAGGUUUUCAGCUCAGCCCCUUGGAUGCACAGGUCGGGAGUGUUCCUGGUCUCCAGUGGGACAUGUUCCACAGCGACAUGCCAGCGGCUGGAGCCUCCAUGGCCCCUCGAAGCAGACCACGCACCCCUGGUUUGACUGCUCUGGAUCUCUCAGGUCCCACCUCAGCAUCACACACGCCUUUGCUAAUUCCAGGGCCAUGUACCUUAAUCUAAUGACUAAUUCCAGGAAUCUGUCACUCCAUAAUGGGCUGUGCCCCCCGGGAUGCCCCAGGGAGGUUGUGCCGGGUCUGGCGAAGAACAGGGAGAAUCCUGUGGGGUCUCAGACAAGAGGGAAGCCGGCUAGAAUUCCCUCACUAGCUCAUUAACUCUCUAAUUGUGGGGUAUUUGUAAAACACAGAACAUUUCCUGGAAAUGGAGGAAAAGGAGGGAGUAGCCCAGCCGAGAGACUCCAUGGGAAGUGGCACCUGGACCCAAACCCAUGGAUCUGCUCCCAUCUUCACAGUCACUGAUGUGGAGAUGCUUCCUCAGGGGAGAGGAGCUGUGUGAACCCGGCACCUGGUGAGAAACCCAGUGGAGCAUUGGGAGAGAGCUGUUGGCCGAGCUGAGGAUGCUGGAGGAAUGCUGGCAGGGCCAGGUCCUUUGCAAGGGGGUGGCACUCCCGAGGUCUGAGCCCCCAAGGCACCCGGGGGCCAGGUCCUCAGCGACCGAUGCUCCUCGGGGACACAUCCCUGCUUUUGCCCAGUCAGGGAAUGCCACGGCUCAGGUGGUGCAGGGGGCAGGAGACGUUGGAAGACUGUGUCCCCUUCACACAAUGCAGCUUUGACUCGUAUAUUUUUCAUCCCAGUUGAGGGUACAGUGUCAGCCGAUGACUUUUGUCACACCCCAGUGCUUUCUGGGAUGUAAAUUAGGGCCUUCCCCCCCCCCCCCCCCCAUCUGGACAGAUAAGACGGACUCUGACUCGCCCGUCUCGGAAGCCGAUAUUUAUUGGGAGCCCACCGCUCCUCUCAGCAGGUGGACAAAGAUAAUACUGUCAUUAUGUGCUCAGAAAAUGCUUUGUAAAACUUGGUAAAGUCUGCGAGAUAACAUCUGCCUCGAGGACUGCUCCGCUGUAAACAGGGCUUGGAAAAAUAGCACCCACUGCUUCUCCCCGGGAAUAUCGAUUUUUGGUGUUGGAAAGGGUCAAAUUCAAGUCGGCAGCACAAAGAGCGGCUGCAGCUCCCGCUUUUGACAAAGAACAAAGUGCUGCGGCGGCAGGAGCAGCCCAGGGCCGAGGCCGGGGGCCGGCGCCUUUCCCACGGGAGCGGGCAGCUGCUGCCCGCGGGGACCAUCCUGCCCCCGCGUCUCGCCGGAAGCCGCGGGCAGCCCGGGCUCGGCGGGGCUGCCGAGGGGCUCAGCCCCCCCGGAAUGCCAGGGGGGAACCUGAGCCUCCGGCCGGACAACGGAACUCUACGGAGGCGCCGCAUCCCGCUCCUGAGCUGGGAUGGGCGGGACAGGAUGCGGAGGAGGAGGAUGUGCCCUGGCUGCUCCUGCAUCUCACCUGGCAGCCAGCUGGUGAAAAGGACAUUUCGCCGCCUGGCGCCGGAGAGCCAAGGGCUUUCCCUAUCUUUCCUGGUCACACGAGCGAGGAGUGUUGGCAUCAGAGAUGCUGGCUCAAAAGCCGGGAGAGAAACACUGGAGGGAACCUCCGAGUGGUGUGGUGUGUCCCAGCUGUGUCCCAUCCUCUGGCACCCGGACUGGGCACCUCUGCUGUGUCCCAGCAUCCCCCCAGCAGGGAACAAAUCCCAAACAGCACUCUAAGCAUGCUUUGGGCACCCAGGUGCAUCCCAGCAGAGGGACUCGGCAUUCCUGUUUCCCCCUCUGGUGCAAAUCUCAAAUCUCUGCUUGCUGGGUGGAACCCAAGCCCCUGCAUUGCAGCACCACCCCACAGCAAGGGGUCCUGGAGCACUGGCAGCAUCAUGUCAGCAGCUGUGGAAAUUGACCAUCCAAGUUCUUGUCCCUCAGGAAUGUCUUGGACACAGUUCCUGGUCUAACGGGAAGCAAAAGCCUCGGCAGCAGGAAAGAAAAUGCAGAAGUGGCACAGGCGACGGCUGCUGUUUAAAGGAAAGGGUUUGACCCAAGGAGCACGUGGUAGCUCCAAAUCCCCUUCACCCACACGGCAUUAUUUAUUCAUAUUCCCAUUGUACAGACUGGGGGCUCGGAUAAGACACAAUCGAUCACUCCUGCUCGGAGAACACAAAAAAGGGAACCUGGGACACAGGGCCAGGCUGGGAAGGGAGGGAGAAGUGGCAGCGGGAUCUUGCAAAGCAGGCCCUGAAAGCCUGAAAGGAUGUGGGUACAGAGAGGAACAUCCCAUUGGGCAGGGCAUCCCCCAUGGCAUUGCCAGGAUGUGGCGCAGCAGGGGAAGUGCCACUGGACUGGAACAAUGGCAGCAUCCCAGGAGCCCUCGUAGGCCAGGAUGUGCCAGCCCUGGUGUGCCCCACAGCCCCUCCACCCCUCAGCUCCAGAGGGCACAAGCAAAGGAGGUUCAGGAGGGACCUUCUGGCUCUCCACAACUCCCUGACAGCAGGGGGGGAGCCAGGCGGGCAUCGGGCUCUGCUCCCAGGGAACAGGGACAGGAGGAGAGCGGGAGAAGCACGUGCUGCUCCCCAAUGCAAGGACGUGUCCUUGGAUCGUUCAGGCCUCUCCUCCCAGUGGGAAGCAGGCUGGGCCCCUGGCUCUCGCCCUGCCUGGAGCAUGGGGAGAUGAUGCUCUAUGGUUACACACGGGGGGGAGCUGGCAUCUUGUAAAGGAAAAAGAAAUGUGUUUCCUACUCAAUUAAAUGUAACUGGAGGCUUUGGAAAGGCCAAUGGGCUCCCUUUAUGGCUUUGGGAUGGCAGUAGGGCAGGGCUUUGAAAACCAAUCGUGCUGGGAGCCCAUCUUGGGGAGAGCUGUUUGUUCAGCACAUCGACUGCACAUCCAGCACUCAAACCCCACCCUUUCCAGAGCAAACUGCUCCGUGUGCUAUUCUCCAGGGGUGCAGGUGGGUGGCUGGAGCCACAGGAGGAAGGCAGGGUGACAGUGGGGACACACUGAGGUGUGCUCCCUCCUGAGUGGAGUUUGGACCUUUAGGACAGCUGUGAACAGCACUGUGUGACAGGGACGACUCCCUCUCCCUGUAGGUGCACACCUUCCUCCAUCCUCCAUCCUCCAUCCUCCAUCCUCCAUCCUCCAUCCUCCAUCCUCCAUCCUCCAUCCUCCAUCCUCCAUCCUCCAUCCUCCAUCCUCCAUCCUCCAUCCUCCAUCCUCCAUCCCUGUGCCAUGGGAAGGCCCUGGUUGUAUCAGAGCAGGUGCUGGAUGCUCUGAGGCCUAGCCUGUGCCUGGCUGCAUCCCUCCCUCCCUGCCCACAGCCCUGGAUGGAUGUGGGAAGAGCAGCACCCAGAGAAGGUCCAACUUUCACCUCCAAAUCCCCAGCACUGCUGCCACAGAGCCUGGAGAGGGGGUUUAAGCUGUUUCAAAAUCCAUCUCCCAGCUCAUUAUUAUGCUGGGCAAUUUUUCAUUCACUGGGAAUCUAUGGCAGAAUUUUAAUGCAAGAAGCUCCCUGCUCUGUUUCUCUUCCCCUGAAGAAAAAUAGCUUAAUUUCUGCAGUUUGAUAGAUUUCCCUGAGCCUUCGAAAGGUAGAGAAAGACUCUUGAAAAUCGGUCGUUGAACUAUCCACAGUCAUUUUAUAAUGGCCGUAAAUAGGCCUGGACUGAAGAGGUCUCCAGGCAUCAGCUUGAAUGGUGUCCUUGACACUGUUAUUAUUAUCCCCAUGGAGAGAAAAAGGGAAAAAAGAAAGGGAAAGAAAGCCUGGGAGCCUCUCCACACUGCAGUUGGUGUGUCUCUAGGCUGCAAGAAAAUCCUCCCCCACUGGAUCUACACCCCUGGAGAUGCGCUGGUUUUUACUUCCCAGAAUUGCCAUAAAUUUCAUGUAAUUUCCUGCAUAAAAAAAAAUUAUGAACUUGAGAAAUUUUGCAAACUCCCGAGCAAAUGAAGUAUGAGGAGUUUGGGGGAAUUUAUUUUCUGCCUUUUUGCCCCUUUGCCCGCCUAAAUCUGUGGUUGUCUUGGGUUAUGUAACCAAAACAAAAUGUGUAUUCUAUUUCAUCUGUUAAAACCAGUUGGGAAGAUGUUUGUGUCUUUUUCCUUUCCUUUAUCUCUUGUAACUCCAGGGGGGUGGGGGGUGGAUGCCUUCUGAUAACAGACCAGCUGUUAAAACCAGAUGGGGCAGUGUUUCUUAUCUCUUCCACCACUGUCCACCCUCUGGGGGAUAUCUUCUGUUAAUGGGCCAUAAAGGCUCACCAAUGACAUGACACAUUACAUCAUCCCAUUGUGAGACGCUCCACCCAGUGGGGAGGAGCCAACCAUUCCCUACCCAGAUAAAAACUGAGCUGUAGGAACACCAAGCAUCUACUUUUCCACUGGAUUCUCAGAGGAAGACUGGACUCAUCUCACCGCCACUCCAGGAUCAUCUCUACUCCAACAGAACCACAUCUGUCACUCCAGGAGGACUUAUUUGGACUGCUUCCAACACCCUGACACAGGGUGUCAGGUCGUAUUCCUGACUCCAUCAGGGUUUUCUAGGACUUUUGUUUGUUUGCUUGCUUGGUUUUUUUUGUAUUACUGCAUUUGCAUUUUUAAUAUUCCUAGUAAAGAACUGUUAUUCCUAUUCCCAUA